GUGGGGAAUCUUGCACAAUGGGGGCAACCCUGAUGCAGCGACGCCGCGUGAGCGAUGAAGCCCUUCGGGGCGUAAAGCUCUUUCGACCGGAACGAUAAUGACGGUACCGGGAGAAGAAGCUGCGGCUAACUACGUGCCAGCAGCCGCGGUAAUACGUAGGCAGCAAGCGUUGUUCGGAGUUACUGGGCGUAAAGCGUGCGUAGGCGGUUUUCUAAGUUCGGUGUGAAAUCUCCCGGCUUAACUGGGAGGGUGCGCCGAAGACUGGGAAGCUGGAGUGUGGGAAAGGCAGGCGGAAUUCCUGGUGUAGCGGUGAAAUGCGUAGAUAUCAGGAGGAACACCGGCGGUGUAGACGGCUUGCUAGACCAUAACUGACGCUGAGGCACGAAAGCGUGGGUAGCAAACA
rnacentral:rRNA from 1 species